UAUAUCAACUUUCAUUAUAUAUAUAUCAAGUUUCAUUAUAUAUAUAUAUCAACUUUCAUUAUAUAUAUAUCAAGUUUCAUUAUAUAUAUAUCGACUUUCAUUAUAUAUAUAUAUCAACUUUCAUUAUAUAUAUAUCAAAUCUUUUUUUCCUACCGAGCCCCGGAAGGGACAUGUCCGUAUGGCGAAGCGACAACGAAGGACACUCACCCGGACGAGAAUUUUAUUGAGUUUUAUUUUAAAAUCGGCCUGAAACACACAGACAUUCAAGCAGUGCGAUGCGCUAAGAGUCUGCCAUGCAGACCAGCGAUCCUGAUAAUGUUGUCGGCCUUGGAUGAUGAGGUCCAGUUACCAGGAGCACUAGUCUGCAGCUUACUGGUUCCGUCCUGCAGCUCCUCCACGCUGUCCUCCUCUCUACAGACCAAAUCAAGAAAAGGGAACCAGGAAGCUGCUGUGGAUCCUCUGCAGUAUCUGGAGAGGUCAGAGGAACGGUUCUUGGAACAGAUCGGAAGACACCAAGACGUGACCUCUGCCAUGCUCCAGAACAUCCAGAAGAUGAAUGAAAACCUUGGUUGCACUGAUGGGACGCAUGGUGUCGGUGCUGGAGCAACUGUCCCAGAAUUAAACUGCAUUGUUGACUAUUGGCUUUUCUAGAAAAUAAAUCUUUUUUAGUACUUCA